UACAUGGGGUGCAAACGUUGCUCGGAAUUAUUGGGCGUAAAGGGCGCGUAGGCGGCCACUGCAAGUCAGUUGUGAAAUCUCCGGGCUUAACCCGGAAAGGUCAACUGAUACUGCAGGGCUAGAGUGCAGAAGGGGCAACUGGAAUUCUCGGUGUAGCGGUGAAAUGCGUAGAUAUCGAGAGGAACACCUGCGGCGAAGGCGAGUUCCUGGACAAGUCCUGACGCUGAGGCACGAAAGCCAGGGGAGCAAACAGG
rnacentral:rRNA from 1 species